CGCUCUGGUGGCCUAGUGGUUAGAGCGUCCGCCUCGGAUGCGGGAGGUUGCUGGUUCAAUCCCCGAUUGAGUCA